CGGGGGGUGCGGGGGGGGACCCCGCUCCCGUGCCCAUCACAGGCACCUACCUUCAUCUCCUCGUUGAUCUCCCGCUUCACCGGUUUUUUUUCCUGCUGGGGAGGAUGAGAUAAACAAGCAGGCCUGAUUUUUCCAGCUGCUAAAUAUGCAAGCAGCAGGACAGCUUCAAAGCGAGAGGUUUUAGAAGGCAGCAGCAACAAGGCAACGCUGCUCUGGGGGCACUCUGGAAACAACGUGCCGGUUUUCAGAGGCCGAACCGGGACAAGCGGGGCCAUCCCCGGAGCCAUCCCCGGAGCCAUCCCGGUGCUGCCCCGCGGGAGGCGAGCGGAUGGAGCGCGGCCCCGGCCCGAGGAGCAGCAUCCCCGCCCGGCGGCCGCGCCGACAGCUCCCCCUCCUGUCCCGCUCCUUCCCGGCACGGCGGGAAACGCAUCAUGGAGCCUCGGACACCGAAACGUGUUUCAGUACCAGUCUGCGUGCGAUUAUGCACGUAUAAACCCACACGUCCACCCACACACGCAAGGGGAAAGCUGAAGAUUACUCGGCUCCAAUAUGUUGUUGCUCUGAGCCUCUGUCCAAAUUCCCCUGAGUGGAGCACUGCCCACCAGAGGAGAUGGCCUGAGAGGCUCUUCCAAUGGGAAUUGGGUGGGGAGGUGAACAAGCAGUGACUCUACAAAGGGGCGCUGACUGAUGAGCCAGUGAGGAGGCAGCUGCGUUCUGAGGGCAUGUGGCACAGGAGGGGUUUGUCCCACUGCCUUUGCGGCGCUGCUGAGACCCUGCGGGAUCUUUGGCUUCCCAUCUGUGCCAUGUACCGAUGAGCUACCGUAUCCCUGAGCCUGGGGUGCAGAAUGAAAAGAGUUACAGACACCUUCUCUGUCAAAGGACCCCUAUGUAUCACAGCUACAUUUAUUUGUUUUUUAAAAAUCCUUCGCAUUUGUUGUGAUUUAUUAACCAGCAACAUAUUAAGCUCUGAUAUUGGUAUCACAGUAGGUAUAAUUAGGUUUAAAAAUUAAUACUUCUAAGUGUCAAAUUCUGUCCAAGGGACGUGACUCCUACUGAAACCAAUGGAUGCUAAAUGAUGGUGUUUUUUCAGUGUCUAACUAUGGGAUCAAUAUGGCCUUCGCCCUUGUCAGUGGUUCUGUCAGCUGCUAGGAAGACAGGCAGCCUUGCAGACAAGACACAGACAAGGAGGUCAAGAGAAGUGGAUUCUUUUCUCAGUUUGCCUUAGGGCUUUUGCAAAGCCUUGGACAAAUCACACAACCUCUCCAUUAAACCUUCUGACUUCCAAAAUGGAAAUGAUCAUUACUCUCUGGUUUCCCAGGAUGCCAUGAAAUAAAUCAAUUCUUGGGAGAAGGGAAAAAGGGGGGAAUAGGUGUGUGUGGGAACAAGUCCAUGGGUGCUUUGGAAGGAACAGUCAUAUUUCUCUUCACUUUUUUUUUUUUGUAAACAGUCUUGGAAUGCACCUGGGAUUUAACAUAUUAAAAAUUAAGCAAUAUCUAGAAGAUUUAGUCAUGUAGACAGGUUACAGUUACUACAAUAUAUAACAUUGCUACUCGCAUUCUCAUAUAGACAUAAUUUAUUUUGGAUAAAUGGAUAAUUGAAAGUCCAAAUGCUCCCAGUCAAAUGAGAAUGCUUUGCAAUUGUUUUACUUUAGAUGGCAGUUAGGAAAAUAUUUCAUGUUUCAUUUGCUAGAAAAGAGACCCAGAGUUGGCACUAGUAGUCACUUUGAUGUAUCCUCUGGUUCAUUGGUCCAGAGCAUGCUGAUGUAAACAGAAGUGUCGCUUGACCUGUCAUCUUUGUUCUUCAACUUUGAUACUGGCCCCCUCCAGUGGCUUCUUUCUCUUCCUGGGGGGGCUUUAAAAAGUCACUUGAUAUGGAAAAAAAAAAAAAAGACUCAGUUGCCUUCUCUAUUUAAGACUCUAAAGAAAUAGACAUGUCUAUUGUACAGUCACUGAAGCUCUUGAAACAGUGUGGAUUUUUCUCUCCAGUCCUGUGGGGAAAUGAGCAAAGGAGAAAAAAAAAAGCAUGUGGUUUUGUCCACAACUUAUGAUAUGGUAAGUACAUAGUACUUUUGCUUCUGAUGGGUUUUUUUUUGAGAGGGAAACUGAGAAGCUCAGUUUCAGAAACAGGCAGUGCAAAUAGCAAUGCCUAUGGGUAAGUUGGUCCAUCAUUGCCUAUUAUAGAACCCUGGUUUUUGAUGCCUGUAACUGUCAAAUAUUAGCUAAUUUGUAAUGAUUUUUUCCUGUGAUUGGUGUGCCAGCCUGAAGCUGAUUUUUAAAAUAGUUCACUCUGUUUGAAAAAUGAGGUUAGCAAAAAACCACAUUCUCCUUGUGUUAAAAAAUAUCAUUGGGUUGCAUGACUGAUAAACUCUCCAUGCUCUAAACCUGAAAUUUGGCAAAGGAUUUGCCAAGGCUUUGGAGGGUUCCACCCAUAAACACGUAUGAUAAGAAGAGCCUGUGAUUAGGCCACAUGCUAUGCAGACAAGAGGGUUAAUGAAGGUGAGGGAGAAGGCUGUGACAAGAUUGAAAGAACAGUAGUCUGUAGAGAUGGUGUGGGACUGAAGCAAAGAAGAUGGAGAUGGAGAGAAAGGCACUAUGAACUUAGACCAGGAGUCAAAAAUGAACUACUGAAGUAAGACUCAUAGGUUGCUGAGAGAAGGGAAAGGGAUGAAGGCAUUGGGCUGGGAGACAGAAAGCCCUUAGGUAUUACAAUACAAUCUUCUCAAAGAGUCUCUGUGGUCAAGAAAUAGUAAUUUCAAAAAAAGACGGAAAAUGACUGACAAAAUAUUUGCUUUAUUCCUCUAGUAAUUGCUGCUUUUAAAGUAUAUCAACCUACUGAUGGUGAAUUGUGAGGAAGCCCUAGUGAUAGUGUGCAGCAUUGUCAAUAUCAAGGGUCUUGCCCUAGUUCUAAACCAUGUGAAAUUAGAAGAAGAACUCUGCAUAGAGUGUAGAGGCAUUGAGAUUUUUAGAAUAACAUAAAGAACAGCAAUUUUAAAAAGUUAAAGUCUCACAUGUUAGGAGAUGGUAGGUUUACUGCCCAUUGAACCCUAAUUCUCCCUAGUUUAUAUGUAUUAUUUUAAGCAGACUUUAAUUGUAUAAUCAUGUUGAGUUUUUCACAGAACACUAACCACAUUAAGUGCAAGAAUGGAUAUGGCUCAGGAAAUGAAUCAAGGAACUUGUCACCGUUACAGGAUGAGGUGCCUUGGUAGCUCCUCUUAAGUGCAUCCCUCCGGCAAUUUUCAUUAACUUAGGCUUUCUGCAUAGAAACAUGCCACUGCAUUCUGUCAUUUCUAAACUGUGUUUAUGAGCAGAAACUCCCUAUUUAGCAACAGUUUGUUCUGUGACACCAGCUAACUAAACUGCCUCGGUGGCAGCUCCUUCAAAGCAAAGCUUUAUUUUCUCAGAGACAGGCAGCACAGAAAGCAAAGAGUUGACACCAGAAACUUAACUCUUAGGUUACCUUUCCAGUUCUCACAGGUUUUCUCUAUUCUAGUUUCUCCGCUUUCCAUUGGGAGAGGUCACUUAGGAGAUGCCACAGGCAUGUCCAGGUGUUGUUGACUCCACAGUCAAAGCCCUUCCUUAGGACAGUAUGUUUUACAGUUCUGGAGUUGUCUCAGGUGUCGAAACAACAAAUAUCUUGUCAUUUUUAUUGAAAAACAGGUAAGGGCAUUCCUUUUUAGCAGCUUCUCCCUUGCAAAUGCAAGAAUUAUAUUGUGCUUUCCUGGACAUCUUUCUUUGUGAUGGGAUUGUUUUCUAUUUGCAUCUUCUUUUACAGUAGUAUCUUCAACAUAACUCUCUUUAAAUAAGGCAAACAAAAUCAAGCGACUUGUAUCUUGUAUUUCCAAAGAUAAGAAAGUUAACACCCUCAUUUUCAACAUGAAUGUAGUAAAUAGGACAAUUUUCUCAUCAGAACUUUGCCUGAUUUGUUGAAACAAAGCCCUGAAGAUAUAGAAGGAAUGGAUAUCAGUGAUUGUAAAGACAGACCAUAUUCUUGCUGAAGUAUCUGUGGGUGUGAAGAAGUCACUUAAAUCAAAUUUCUGAAGAUGGCCAA